rnacentral:rRNA from 1 species
GGAGUUAGCCGGUGCUUCUUCUGCGAGUAACGUCACAGAUGUAAGGUAUUAACUUACACCCUUUCCUCCUCGCUGAAAGUGCUUUACAACCCGAAGGCCUUCUUCACACACGCGGCAUGGCUGCAUCAGGGUUUCCCCCAUUGUGCAAUAUUCCCCACUGCUGCCUCCCGUAGGAGUCUGGGCCGUGUCUCAGUCCCAGUGUGGCUGAUCAUCCUCUCAGACCAGCUAGGGAUCGUCGCCUAGGUGAGCCUUUACCUCACCUACUAGCUAAUCCCACCUGGGCUUAUCCAUCAGCGCAAGGCCCGAAGGUCCCCUGCUUUCCCCCGUAGGGCGUAUGCGGUAUUAGCAGUCGUUUCCAACUGUUAUCCCCCACAAAUGGGCAAAUUCCCAGGCAUUACUCACCCGUCCGCCGCUCGUCAUCUUCAAAGCAAGCUUUUGAAUGUUACCGCUCGACUUGCAUGUGUUAGGCCUGCCGCCAGCGUUCAAUCUGAGCCAGAAUCAAACUCUGA